rnacentral:siRNA from 1 species
AAUGCGUCUCUGCUCGGGUAUGUA